ACGCUAGCUACAGGCUUAACACAUGCAAGUCGAGGGGAAACGACAUCGAAAGCUUGCUUUUGAUGGGCGUCGACCGGCGCACGGGUGAGUAACGCGUAUCCAACCUGCCCACCACUUGGGGAUAACCUUGCGAAAGUAAGACUAAUACCCAAUGAUAUCUCUAGAAGACAUCUGAAAGAGAUUAAAGAUUUAUCGGUGAUGGAUGGGGAUGCGUCUGAUUAGCUUGUUGGCGGGGUAACGGCCCACCAAGGCAACGAUCAGUAGGGGUUCUGAGAGGAAGGUCCCCCACAUUGGAACUGAGACACGGUCCAAACUCCUACGGGAGGCAGCAGUGAGGAAUAUUGGUCAAUGGACGCAAGUCUGAACCAGCCAAGUAGCGUGCAGGAAGACGGCCCUCUGGGUUGUAAACUGCUUUUAUAAGGGAAUAAAGUGAGAGUUGUGACUCUUUUUGCAUGUACCUUAUGAGUAAGGACCGGCUAAUUCCGUGCCAGCAGCCGCGGUAAUACGGAAGGUCCGGGCGUUAUCCGGAUUUAUUGGGUUUAAAGGGAGCGUAGGCCGGAGAUUAAGCGUGUUGUGAAAUGUAGAUGCUCAACGUCUGCACUGCAGCGCGAACUGGUUUCCUUGAGUACGCACAAAGUGGGCGGAAUUCGUGGUGUAGCGGUGAAAUGCUUAGAUAUCACGAAGAACUCCGAUUGCGAAGGCAGCUCACUGGAGCGCAACUGACGCUGAAGCUCGAAAGUGCGGGUAUCGAACAGGAUUAGAUACCCUGGUAGUCCGCACGGUAAACGAUGGAUGCCCGCUGUUGGUCUGAAUAGGUCAGCGGCCAAGCGAAAGCAUUAAGCAUCCCACCUGGGGAGUACGCCGGCAACGGUGA
rnacentral:rRNA from 1 species